CGAUGUGGAGCGAAUCCAGAAAAUAAUGUCCCAGUUCAGAUUGCAGGCUGCAACUCGCCUGCAUGAAGUCGGAAUUGCUAGUAAUCGCAGAUCAGCAUGCUGUGGUGAAUACGUUCCCGGGUCUUGUACACACCGCCCGUCACACCAUGGGAGUCGGAAAUGCCCGAAGUCAGUGACCCAACCGUAAGGAGGGAGCUGCCGAAGGUGGAGCCGGUAACUGGGGUGAAGUCGUAACAAGGUAAC
rnacentral:rRNA from 1 species